rnacentral:rRNA from 1 species
UUUCAACGGAGAGUUUGAUCCUGGCUCAGGAUGAACGCUGGCGGCGUGCUUAACACAUGCAAGUCGAACGAUGAAGGGAGCUUGCUCCUGGAUUAGUGGCGAACGGGUGAGUAACACGUGAGUAACCUGCCCUUGACUCUGGGAUAAGCCUGGGAAACUGGGUCUAAUACCGGAUAUGACCUUCCAUCGCAUGGUGGUUGGUGGAAAGCUUUUGUGGUUUUGGAUGGACUCGCGGCCUAUCAGCUUGUUGGUGGGGUAAUGGCCUACCAAGGCGACGACGGGUAGCCGGCCUGAGAG